rnacentral:rRNA from 1 species
UACGGGGGGGGCAAGCGUUGUUCGGAAUUACUGGGCGUAAAGGGCUCGUAGGUGGCCAACUAAGUCAGACGUGAAAUCCCUCAGCUUAACUGGGGAACUGCGUCUGAUACUGGAUGGCUUGAGUUUGGGAGAGGGAUGCAGAAUUCCAGGUGUAGCGGUGAAAUGCGUAGAUAUCUGGAGGAACACCGGUGGCGAAGGCGGCAUCCUGGACCAACACUGACGCUGAGGCGCGAAAGCUAGGGGAGCAAACGGG